AGCAUUGCCUUAGUAGCGGCGAGUGAAGCGGCAAAAGCUCAAAUUUGAAAUCUGGCACCUUCGGUGUCCGAGUUGUAAUUUGAAGAUUGUAACCUUGGGGUUGGCUCUUGUCUAUGUUUCUUGGAACAGGACGUCACAGAGGGUGAGAAUCCCGUGCGAUGAGAUGCCCAAUCCUAUGUAAGGUGCUUUCGAAGAGUCGAGUUGUUUGGGAAUGCAGCUCUAAGUGGGUGGUAAAUUCCAUCUAAAGCUAAAUAUUGGCGAGAGACCGAUAGCGAACAAGUACAGUGAUGGAAAGAUGAAAAGAACUUUGAAAAGAGAGUGAAAAAGUACGUGAAAUUGUUGAAAGGGAAGGGUUUGAGAUCAGACUCGAUAUUUUGUGAGCCUUGCCUUCGUGGCGGGGUGACCCGCAGCUUAUCGGGCCAGCAUCGGUUUGGGCGGUAGGAUAAUGGCGUAGGAAUGUGACUUUGCUUCGGUGAAGUGUUAUAGCCUGCGUUGAUGCUGCCUGCCUAGACCGAGGACUGCGAUUUUAUCAAGGAUGCUGGCAUAAUGAUCCCAAACCGCCCGCUA
rnacentral:rRNA from 1 species